rnacentral:lncRNA from 1 species
GAAUUUUAUUCUUCUCAGGGUAAGAAUCUAUACCUGGAAUAAUUUCUUAAUCAUAGGAUUAAGAUUUUAUAAGUAAUAAGUAAUGUUGCUUUUAAAAUUGAUUUUAUAGUCUGAAUUUAGUUUUCUUUUCAAACUUUAGAAUUGUGAGAUUUGAAGUGAUAUCAGAUAUUUAUAAAUGAUAGCAUUAUACCUUUGUCAUUUUUUUUAAGCAGAAGGAAAAUGUAACAAAUUCCACAGAAUUGCAGCAUCAGUUAGAUAAAACAAAGCAACAGCAUCAAGAACAACAAGCUCUUCAGCAAAACACUACGGCAAAACUUUGAGAAGCUCAGAAUGAUUGGGAAAAAGUGCUUCGUCAAUUUGGUGAUAAGGACCAAAAGAUCCAGAACCUUGAAGCCUUAUUACAGGAGAGUAAAGAAAAUAUUUCUUUCCUAGAAAAGGAAAGAGAAGAUUUUAUGCAAAAACUCAGGCUGGUGAAGGAGAGACCGCUGUUCUUAAUCAGUUGCAGGAAGAAAACCAUAUAUUACAGGAACAAGUAAGCUUGUCUAGUGUAUUCUAUUUCUAAAAUUUAUUUUUAUCUCUCUAAAUCUUACAAAGUGCUUUAUGUAAAUGAUUCUGUUCAUUUUAGUGCUUGUAAAAUUAUUAUGUAUUUCUGAAAAAAACCAUCUCAUUUACCUUAGAGGUGGGGUGCUAUUGCAGUGAAAAUAAGUUAUUUACCAUGAUUUGAUAAAGGAAAUCUCAGUUCAUACCCAGGAUGUAACUUAUUACCUGUGUGACCAUAAGCAAAUCAUUUAACCAUGUUAACUCAUUGGAAAAGUAUAGUUAGUUCAUACUGGGAAGUUAGACUUACUUCUUGGCAUUUUGUGAUGUUUUGAAAAGGAAAAGUAAGGAACAAAAUA